CCUACGGGUGGCAGCAGUGAGGAAUAUUUGUCAAUGGGCGCGAGCCUGAACCAGCCAAGUAGCGUGAAGGAUGACUGCCCUACGGGUUGUAAACUUCUUUUAUGUAGGAAUAAAGUGAGGCACGUGUGCCGUAUUGUAUGUAGAGUAUGAAUAAGGAUCGGCUAACUCCGUGCCAGCAGCCGCGGUAAUACGGAGGAGCCGAGCGUUAGCCGGAUUUCUUGGGUUUAACGGGAGCGUAGGUGGGGUGUUAAGUCAGUUGUGAAAGUUUGCGGCUCAACCGUAACAUUGCAAAUGGUACUGGCAGCCUUGAGUACAGUUGUGGUAGGCGGAAUUCGUGGUGUAGCAGUUAAAUGCUUAGAUAUCACGA
rnacentral:rRNA from 1 species